rnacentral:misc_RNA from 1 species
CCCCCCCCCCGGGGGGGGG